UACGUAGGGUGCAAGCGUUGUCCGGAAUUAUUGGGCGUAAAGAGCUCGUAGGCGGUCUGUCACGUCGGCUGUGAAAACCCGAGGCUCAACCUCGGGCCUGCAGUCGAUACGGGCAGACUAGAGUUCGGUAGGGGAGACUGGAAUUCCUGGUGUAGCGGUGAAAUGCGCAGAUAUCAGGAGGAACACCGGUGGCGAAGGCGGGUCUCUGGGCCUGUACUGACGCUGAGGAGCGAAAGCGUGGGGAGCGAACAGG
rnacentral:rRNA from 1 species